GCUUCAUACAAAUAUACAGAUGUAGCUUCUUUUUAUAUAGAAUGCAGAUACGUGUUAUCUUUAGUAUGCAGGAUCCAGCAGGUUGUCAAGAGGUUGAUGGCGUUGAUGGAAGGGUCGAUUUAGCCGAGCUGGUGGCGUGAAAUUCAAUGGAGUUGAGUGUGCUGGGACGCCGUUGGUGGAAACUUGUUGAAUUGGGCCUUGUUGGGCGCGGGAGGAAAAAAAAAUUGGAGUAGAGGCUGUGAAGUUGGGUCUUUGUCCCACCCUUCACCUCACAUCGAACCAAACCCUAGGUUCACACUGGUGCACCGCCGCCGCUGGGCAUCGCACGGCCGCCGUCCGUCGCGCGCGGGAUUGAGCUCUGUUAGGCGUGGUCGGUGGUGGUCUUUGUGCUUUUGAGGUCGCUAAUCAUCCGCUACUUCGUCGUAGCCCUGGAGUGGUGGUGCUCUGACUUCGCAGCCAGCCGUUAAAAGAUGGAGUCACUUGUGAUAUAAUGAGUGCUAUCUAAUUAGAUAUAACUUCCCUCAAGAUAUAAUGUGUUACUUAAUUAUAAUGAUUUGCUGUUUCUGAUUUUUCGAA